GACGAACGCUGGCGGCGUGCUUAACACAUGCAAGUCGAGCGGGGAUAGAUACUGGAAGGUUUCGGCUGGAAGGUAUUUAUUCUAGCGGCGGACGGGUGAGUAACGCGUGAACAAUCUGUCCCAGACAGGGGGAUAACAGAUGGAAACAUCUGCUAAUACCGCAUAAGACCACGAGGUCGCAUGGCCAUGGGGUAAAAGNGGAAUCCGGUUGGGGUGAGUUCGCGUCCGAUUAGCUAGUUGGUGGGGUAACGGCCUACCAAGGCGACGAUCAGUAGCCGGCCUGAGAGGGUGAACGGCCACAUUGGGGACUGAGACACGGUCCAGACUCCUACGGGAGCAGCAGUGAGGAAUAUUGGCAAUGGAGGCAACUCUGAACCAGCCAAGUAGCGUG
rnacentral:rRNA from 1 species